GUUUCAAAGACCGGAAGUUGCGUCUAUACCUGUUUUCAUGUCGCUAUUCACUACAUCAGUAGGUGGGGUAUCGUUUUAGGCGCCAAAUCUAAGGACCGCGGGAAGCUAUUUCCUGCCAUUGUGCAGCCAUCCGUUUGUUCUCUGCAAGGACUUCCUCUUCAUAUUGGACAAUAUCUGUUGGAGAAGUAUCCACCAUUAACACUCGCAACGUCUGUCACAAAAACUUAUGCAACCCGGUUCCUUUCUAGGAAUUUUCUUAUUUUUUUGUAAUUACAAUUUUUGUAUAGCCACUGAGUUAUUCAAUAAAAUGUAUCUGUAGAGCGCCA